rnacentral:lncRNA from 1 species
UUUUUUUUUUUGUUUUUCACAACCCAACAAUUACAUCACAUUUGGCCCGUUAAAGAGUUGGUCCGAAAACCGUCUUCAACUGGCUUGGUAUGAAUGAUUUGGGAGAAAAUACAACCUCUUGCUCGAGCUCCUUUUGCAAGACUAUCCGCUCAGACAUUUGAACUUCUGGGGAUAUGGGAUAGAGUGAAAUCCAAAAAAUUUUCCCGAAGAUUGCGGAAGGCUUCUAACUCUGAUAAGAAUGAUGGCCAAUCUGAUAGCGAUUCAGACAUGCUAAUCAGAUCCAAAAAAUCGGUUUGAAAGUGUACAGAUAAAAUUUGUCUAUCUUUCACGCAAGACAUAACCCAUAAUAAGCUCUCCAAUUCGGCAUGAAGGGUCGAUAGGCUUCUACGACAGCCUUGAAGGCCAAAAGUCUCGCCACCUCUUUCCUCCUUCAGUCUCCACCCGAACCCACUAACCAGGCCAAUGCCUAUCCAAGAUGCAUCAACCUGACAAAUUGGGAACCUCGGGGUAUCGGGUAGAGGACUAUAGAGCAAAGGAGUGAGCGGAGCCUAGUCUGAUCCGUCUUCUUCUUUUUCCGGUUGGUUUGCAAUCUUCCAACUUUCGGCUUCAACCUUGGCGUGGAUCAAAGUAUCUACCGGGGAAAUUUCUUUCCCGUUGAAGAUCUUGUCGUUCCUCGCUUUCCAAAUAUACCACAGGAUCCAAGGAUAAAUAUCCUUUUGAGGAUCUGUCAUGCCUAACUCUUUUGUUUUCCAAAAGAGAAAGCUCAUAUUUUGGUAAAUAGAGAUAUUCGGAAAGACACCCGGAAGGGACGGAAAGUCCGAUAACGCCCAGACUUGUAAAGCCGGGGGGACAUAAAAACAGAAGAUGGUUAAUAGAUUCUUCAGGAUUCCCACAGCGGGGGAAACUCUUAUCCGUUCCCAUAUGCCUGUAGGUUAGGUUUUGGCAAGUAGCAAUACAUCCUGAUAAAGCUUGCCACAUAAAAUGCUUUAUUUUUCCAGGCGUCCGUACUUUCCAAACGUAGCUUUGAAGAGCUGUGAUACUCGGUUCUCUCACGACAUCCAAAUUCUGAUCAAGGUUUGAUUUCCUAAUCAGGUCAUAUCCGGAUUUAACCGUGUAUACUCCUGUUUUAGUAUGGUUCCACGCAAAUUCAUCAAGGGUAUGGUUCCUACUAGGUCUCAACCCAAGGAUAAGAGAAACAUCCUCAGGUUGGAAAAAUUCUCUUAGAAGAGGCUCAUCCCAUUGCUUCGUAUCUUGACGGAUAAAGGAGUAAACUAACACUCUUGGGUCUUGAAGUCCGAUCUGGAGGGUUGCUCUUGGUGGACGGGCCCUGGCAUCAGGUAUCCAAGGCUCACUCCACGCCCUCGUAUUUAGUCCCGACCCUAUUGUCUUCCUUAGUCCCAUUUUAAGAUACGGUUUUGCGGCCAACAUACUCCUCCAUCCAUAGGAUGGUGAGUAGACAUUUCAAUCCUCUAACGGGUCUGAUUGUCGAUAAUAUCUUCUUCUUAGCACCCGAGCCAGAAGAGAUGAAAGGUGGAUCCCACUGCUAGAUUGUUUUGAACUCCACCAAAAAUUGGCAAUGACGCUCCGAAGUUUGUCUGUAACCCCUUUAGGGAGGAGAAAACAAGACAUGACGUAAGUGGGAAUGGCUUGAGCCACUGAUUUAAUCUGAAUCUCUUUUACACCCUUGGAAAGAAGUCUUACGGACCAAUUAUUAACACGAUUACUUAGGCGUUCAUGAACAAAAGAGAAAACCUUCUUCUUUGAUCCACAGAUUUGCUCUGGUAGGCCCAAGUACAUGCCCAUACCGCUUUCUGUAGAAAUACCUAUGGUAUUUUUAAUAUUUCGUUUGAGAUCCGGGUCCACUCUAUCUCCAAACAUGAUAGAUGAUUUCCCCAAAUUCAGUUGUUGUCCCGAUGCCAUUCCAUAAGUGUUUAUGAUUUGGAGAAUCUCCGCUCCUUGUUGGAUAUCCGCUUUACAGAAAAAACAGGCUGUCAUCAGCAAAGAGAAGGUGGGAAACUGGGGGACUUGCUUGAGCAAUUUUCAGUCCAGAGAUUCGCUCCUCUUCCUCUGCUCCCUUAAGAAGCGAAAUAAGGCCUUCUGUGCACAGAAUAAAAAGGAAAGGGGAGAGAGGAUCCCCUUGCCUUAAGCCCCUCGACGGUUUGAUGUUACCUUUAGGUUCUCCAUUAAUAAGGACCUGGUAUGAAACUGAUGAGAUGCAAAACAUCAGUAAACUGACCCAUCUCGUUGAAUAUCCUAACUUGAUUAGGAGAGCUUCAAUAAAACCCCAUUCAACCCGGUCAUAUGCUUUGCUCAUAUCUGUCUUGAUAGCCAUAAAAUUUUCCCUGCAAUUUGUGUUGGUACGGAGUGCAUGGAAAUUUUCUUGUGCUAACAGAAUAUUAUCUGUAAUAAGCCGUCUAGCCAAGAAGGCCGAUUGUGUCACUGAUAUGAUGGUUGGCAGUGUUUUUUUGAGACGUUUACAUAGAAGCUUAGAGAUGAUCUUGUAGCUCACAUUACACAGACUGAUAGGCCGGAAUUCCCCCAUUGCUCUAGGUUUGUUUAUUUUUGGGAUAAGACAAAUAUUAGUCUCGUUAAGUCUAGGAUCAAAAGUUCCGGAACUGAAAAAGUUCUUAACCAGUUUAACAAUAUCGUGGCGAAUAAAAAGCCAGAAUUUUUGGUAAAAUUUGCUUGUCAUACCAUCAGGGCCAGGAGCUUUGUCCGGAUUAAUAUCAAAAAGAGCCUCUUUAAUUUCUUUCUCCGACGGUUCCUUUAAAAGUAAUUGGUUUGUGUUAUCUGAGACUUUCUCGGUAAUAAACCGGAGGAAAUUUUCUGGGUCUGAGGGGAUAGACGAUGAGAAGAGGUCUUGAAAAUACGUAGAGGCCACUUUUUCUAUUCCUCUUGCAUUUUCCACCAAAUGUCCGUUACUAUCCUUAAGGGAGACGAUGUGAUUCCUGACUCUCCUUUGUUUAGUGAGAGCAUGGAAGAAUUUAGUGUUUUUAUCACCGUCUUUGUGCCAUUUCUCCCGACUCUUCUGUUGCCAGAACAUAUCUUCUUCCCUAAGGGCAGCACAGAGUUUCCUCCUGAUGUCUUCAAUUUCUUCUAGUGUUGUAUUAUCAUCAUCUUGGGCUAAGUCCAAUUGUUUUUUCAAUUCUUCGAUCAUUUUUUCCGAGUUAGUCGGGAAGGAUUUCUUCCAAACAGAGAUGUUUUUCCGGCAUUGUGCAACCUUUUGAUGAAAAUCUCGACGUGAGAUUUUAUCAAAGGGGCCCCACCCGGAAAUGACUGUCUCUUUAAAACCAGGCUUUCCAAUCCAUCUUUUAUCGAAUCGAAAAGAUUUUUUCUUCCUUAUGUUGUCGAUUUUUAUCAUAGCUAAGAUUGGUCGAUGAUCCGAUCCCCAAAGUUUCAUAUACUCCACCGAAGAGUGAAAAAAUUUUGAAAGCCAUUCCUCAUUUCCAAGAGCUCUGUCUAGACGGCAUUUGACUUUGCCAGACCGUCUUCUUCCAACCCAGGAAAAAGAAUUUCCUUUGUAUGGGAAGUCAAGCAUUCCACAGCUAUCUAGCAUAGUUCAGAAUGGAAUAAAUGAGCUUUCUGGUCUCCUCCUACCUCCCCGUUUCUCAUGAUUUUCGGUAAUCUCAUUAAAAUCACCUAUCAUAAACCAGGCUUCUUUUCUGGUCGUGCUUAUCCUUGUUAGACGUUCCCAAACAUUUUCUCGAUUUUUUACAACCGGAUCACCAUAAAAAAAGUCAUAAAAAUUUAUGUCAGUCUAGACUUGAUUCAACAUCAAUCAAAUGCUCAUCAGAAUAGAUAAUAGAGACCGUAGGUUCAUCCAUAUAAAAAAGAGCUAGGCCGCCGCUUCGACCCUCAGUUCAACCGUGAAAACAUGGUCAUAUCCAAAAUGAAUUUGCAUAUCUUGCAGAAUGUAACGAAUAUUUUUGGUCUCCAACAAAAAAAAGAAACCUCGGUUAAAAACAUUUGUAAAGUUCUUCAAGAUGAUCUUUUGUCAGAUCCGAACCAGUUCCUUGACAAUUCCACCCAAUGAUAUUCAUAUUAGGGAGAAGUUUCUGAUUUCUAAUUUAAAACUUAGAUGUGUAAUUUGGGUUAUAUGUGUUUAACUAAUAAGAUCCAUAAAGGCCCAGCGGCCUACAUUAAAUCUUGGGCUUAGCCCAGAAUUGAAUUAGGCCCGCUAAUUUGCUGGCCCAGAAGACAGAUACAAUUAGGUCAAAAAAAGUAAUUUUUCCCUGGCCGCCGAUGAAGCUUCUCCGCCGCCACAGCCGUCAAGACCGUCGAUAUCUUCUGAAAGUUGGUGACUUUUGGAGAUCCGGCAUUUUAGAAACUAUCUGGAGCCUUGCCGUCGGAUAAGCACCACAAAAUUCUUUGGCUUGAAGACACCAAUGGAGGUAAUAGACAUGGAUCUCAAAGCCUUCCACGAAAAAAAAAAAAUUAGAAGAUAUGCAGCAGAUAGAGGUCUUAGCACAAGGCUAGAUACAGAGAAAACUCGCUUUUAGCGGAAGGAGAUUCAGUUCCUCAGAGAUCGUGGCUUGGUCCUGAGAUGAGCAUCGCCGGUGAAACCAUGAGAAAGAGUACAGAUCUUAGAGGGGGAACGAAGAGACCAGGUCCAGGGUUGCGCCGGUGAGACCAUGAGAACGAGCAAGCUCAAAAGGAGCAAGAGUUGUGCUGUUCAGAUCUGUAAGAAAUCAGGUCCAGGUCUUCAAAGGAAGGAGGAGCAGCACCGAUAACUUUAAGCAAAUCUUAAAACUCUCAACAGUAGAGAAUGGAGACAGCUGUCUUCGUCUUCAACAAAUAGAAGCACCGUAAUCUUCAGCCACACUAGAGAGGAACACCAAAGAGAUUCAAAGUCAAGAAUAUGGGGCAAAAAAGAGAUGAUCUGAGAUCCCCUGAGUCUACAUUGGGAAAAGGGCCAGAGAGACAAAGCGUAUGCUUCUCACAUGACCUCUUUUUACUUCCU